rnacentral:rRNA from 1 species
GAGGACCUUUGGCGGCGUGCUUAACACAAGCAAGUCGAACGAAGCACUUUUACAGAUUUCUUCGGAAUGAAGUUUUAGUGACUGAGUGGCGGACGGGUGAGUAACGCGUGGGUAACCUGCCUCACACAGGGGGAUAACAGUUGGAAACGGCUGCUAAUACCGCAUAAGCGCACAGUACCGCAUGGUACAGUGUGAAAAACUCCGGUGGUGUGAGAUGGACCCGCGUCUGAUUAGCUAGUUGGCAGGGCAACGGCCUACCAAGGCGACGAUCAGUAGCCGACCUGAGAGGGUGACCGGCCACAUUGGGACUGAGACACGGCCCAAACUCCUACGGGAGGCAGCAGUGGGGAAUAUUGCACAAUGGGGGGAAACCCUGAUGCAGCGACGCCGCGUGAGCGAAGAAGUAUUUCGGUAUGUAAAGCUCUAUCAGCAGGGAAGAAGAAAUGACGGUACCUGACUAAGAAGCACCGGCUAAAUACGUGCCAGCAGCCGCGGUAAUACGUAUGGUGCAAGCGUUAUCCGGAUUUACUGGGUGUAAAGGGAGCGCAGGCGGAAGGCUAAGUCUGAUGUGAAAGCCCGGGGCUCAACCCCGGUACUGCAUUGGAAACUGGUCAUCUAGAGUGUCGGAGGGGUAAGUGGAAUUCCUAGUGUAGCGGUGAAAUGCGUAGAUAUUAGGAGGAACACCAGUGGCGAAGGCGGCUUACUGGACGAUAACUGACGCUGAGGCUCGAAAGCGUGGGGAGCAAACAA